AGUGAACGCUGGCGGUAGGCCUAACACAUGCAAGUCGAACGGCAGCACAGUAAGAGCUUGCUCUUACGGGUGGCGAGUGGCGGACGGGUGAGGAAUACAUCGGAAUCUACUUUUUCGUGGGGGAUAACGUAGGGAAACUUACGCUAAUACCGCAUACGACCUACGGGUGAAAGCAGGGGAUCUUCGGACCUUGCGCGAUUGAAUGAGCCGAUGUCGGAUUAGCUAGUUGGCGGGGUAAAGGCCCACCAAGGCGACGAUCCGUAGCUGGUCUGAGAGGAUGAUCAGCGACACUGGAACUGAAACACGGUCCAGACGCCUACGGGAGGCAGCAGUGGGGAAUAUUGGACAAUGGGCGCAAGCCUGAUCCAGCCAUACCGCGUGGGUGAAGAAGGCCUUCGGGUUGUAAAGCCCUUUUGUUGGGAAAGAAAAGCAGCAGGUUAAUACCCCGCUGUUCUGACGGUACCCAAAGAAUAAGCACCGGCUAACUUCGUG
rnacentral:rRNA from 1 species